rnacentral:rRNA from 1 species
UGCGAAGGGGGCUAGCGUUGUUCGGAAUUACUGGGCGUAAAGCGCGCGCAGGUGGUCUUUCAAGUCAGUGGUGAAAGCCCGGAGCUCAACUCCGGAAAUGCCAUUGAAACUGUAAGACUUGAGGAUGAGAGAGGUGAGUGGAAUUCCCAGUGUAGAGGUGAAAUUCGUAGAUAUUGGGAAGAACACCGGAUGGCGAAGGC